rnacentral:rRNA from 1 species
CACAAGCGGUGGAGUAUGUGGUUUAAUUCGAUGCAACGCGAAGAACCUUACCUGGUCUUGACAUCCCGGAGACCCUUAGGAACUAGGGGUGCUUCCAUCUGGAAGAAUCUGGAGACAGGUGCUGCAUGGCUGUCGUCAGCUCGUGUCGUGAGAUGUUGGGUUUAAGUCCCGCAACGAGCGCAACCCUUGCCUUUAGUUGCCAGCAGUUCGGCUGGGCACUCUAAAGGGACUGCCGGUGUUAAACCGGAGGAAGGUGGGGAUGACGUCAAGUCCUCAUGGCCUUUAUGACCAGGGCUACACACGUACUACAAUGGCCGAUACAAAGGGCAGCGACACUGCGAGGUGAAGCCAAUCCCGUAAAAUCGGUCUCAGUCCGGAUUGGAGUCUGCAACUCGACUCCAUGAAGUUGGAAUCGCUAGUAAUCGUGGAUCAGCAUGCCACGGUGAAUACGUUCCCGGGCCUU